ensembl:lncRNA
ACGAUGAAGUUUAAGACCAUGCCGCAGGACAUCAGCGGAGAGGCACAGAAUGCUGCAGAAGAGGCCCUGUGUCCUCCUUCAGCCAGCUUGACCAGUGAAGAGGGCCACAUAUCUUCAAGAGAGGCUACCUCAGCCUCCAAGGACAGAUCACAGAACGUGGGGUGAGGAUGACACGCACUCAUGUUCCCAUCUUGGAUCUUCACCUGAAGUGUGGUGAAAGUUUUUGAGGUAUCGUUGUGGAGGGAUGAGGCGCUGAGGGACCUGUAUGCAGGUGACUAUGUGGUCAUUAUCCACCUUCGUCCCUGCAUCCUCAGCGAUGGCCGGGGAAAAUUUCACUCCUCCACAUACACCUCUGUGAAGAUAUAUAAUGCACAACAAAUACAUCUACUAUGCCAUAAAACAUGCAUUUUGAAGCUGUAACUGUAAAUGGCAGUUAAUUAUGGAGUCAAUAUAAUGCCACAUAUAUACGCAAAAAAAUAAAGUUUUGCAAAAGAAAAUAAAGUUUUGCAAACAAAAAUUAAAGUAUUGAGGAAAAUAAUUUUGCUUUUUGCAAACAAAAAUAAAGAAUUGCAAAAUCAUUGCUUUCGCGCGGUAUCAUUUAUGUUUUGCAAUUCUUUAUUUUUGUAGAUAACUGACUGUCAUUGUAAGAUAAAAAAAAAUGAAGCUUGAAUCUUUUUGCUUUAAUUUUGC